ACCACUCAUUAUUUGCAGGCUCUUCAUAUUCCUCUGCUGGGACGGUUUUCUUUUUUCAUUUCUGGAUGAAUGAUUUGCUUCUUCUCUGGAUUUCUGGUGAGGCAAAUGGAAAGGAAGGAAGGUUGGUGUUAAUGUUGACAGAAGAUAGAGGGCACAUACCUUCACAUGCAGAGAGAGACUCUGCACUUGAUUUUCAUCUGAAACAGUAAUUCACGGCAAUACAGAUUCGUUUGUUUUCCUGCAAUGUGGGCGCCGGUGGAUGCAGCAAUCGAGGAAUGAAGUUGGACUAGUGUAAGCAGCAACGAUACCUAUUGUAUUACAAACAUUUAUAUCAAAUGCUGUGUAAUCCAAGAUUUGGAUAAUGUUAUCACUCUCUCUCGGGAUUGAAGAUGUGGAGUUUUGUUCAUAAAAAUCAUUUAAGAUGGAAUUUUUAAUUUUUUGUUCAAGAAUUAUUAAUAAAUAAUCAAUUUCAAUAUCUACAUUCA